rnacentral:rRNA from 1 species
AACGAACGCUGGCGGCAUGCCUAACACAUGCAAGUCGAACGAGACCUUCGGGUCUAGUUGCGCACGUGUGCGUAACGCGUGGGAACCUGCCCUUAGGUUCGGAAUAACUCCCCUAAAGGGGUGCUAAUACCGGAUAAUGUCUUCCGACCAAAGAUUUAUCGCCUUUGGAUGGGCCCGCGUUGGAUUAGCUAGUUGGUAGGGUAAAAGCCUACCAAGGCGACGAUCCAUAGCUGGUCUGAGAGGAUGAUCAGCCACACUGGGACUGAGACACGGCCCAGACUCCUACGGGAGGCAGCAGUGGGGAAUAUUGGACAAUGGGGGAAAGCCUGAUCAAGCAAUGCCGCGUGAGUGAUGAAGGCCUUAGGGUUGUAAAGCUCUUUUAACCGGGAUGAUAAUGACAGUACCGGGAGAAUAAGCUCCGGCUAACUCCGUG